rnacentral:RNase_P_RNA from 1 species
AAACUGAGGAAACUCCAUCCACCAUUUGAAACCAUGAUGUUCUUAAUUGACAUACACUAAGAAGUGUGACACUGAUAUAGAAACGAUACGAUAGGACUAAACUAAGGCCGUAAUGAAUGAUGCAAUUGGGUUGACUAGCCUUGACAUAGUAAAUCGGUGAAACGAUCUAAUCCAUGGGGUGCAAGAGUAAAUAGUCAUUUGACAAGGUAACUUGCUUAGAUUAAUGCUGCAUAGAAACAUGAGAUGGGUUACUACCGGCAUGC